UUAUUACUAGAAAUUAGGUUAUGAUACAAAAUGUUUUUACAAAUAUGGAUUCAUUAAACUAGUUGCAAUGGUUUCCCUUAAUAUCGUGAUUUCAAGGUCACUUUCUCUGUUAGAAGAACUCGAUUCACCUCUGUCAAACUGGCUUGAAGAGACUGGCAUGUCAGGUAUAUUCUCAAAUUCUCGAAAAUCCUCAUCAUUUGACCAAGCAUGUCUUCGAAUGUAAUUAUGCAAAACCAUUGUUGCAAUAACUAUUAAAACUUGCUUGUUGAAUGAAUAACUUGGAAUAUCUCUUCAUAUUGGCCA
rnacentral:lncRNA from 1 species